GACGAACGCUGGCGGCGUGCCUAAUACAUGCAAGUAGAACGCUGAAGGAGGAGCUUGCUCUUCUGGAUGAGUUGCGAACGGGUGAGUAACGCGUAGGUAACCUGCCUGGUAGCGGGGGAUAACUAUUGGAAACGAUAGCUAAUACCGCAUAAGAGUAGAUGUUGCAUGACAUUUACUUAAAAGGUGCAUUUGCAUCACUACCAGAUGGACCUGCGUUGUAUUAGCUAGUUGGUGGGGUAACGGCUUACCAAGGCGACGAUACAUAGCCGACCUGAGAGGGUGAUCGGCCACACUGGGACUGAGACACGGCCCAGACUCCUACGGGAGGCAGCAGUAGGGAAUCUUCGGCAAUGGACGGAAGUCUGACCGAGCAACGCCGCGGGAGUGAAGAAGGUUGUCGGAUCGUAAAGCUCUGUUGUAAGAGAAGAACGAGUGUGAGAGUGGAAAGUUCACACUGUGACGGUAGCUUACCAGAAAGGGACGGCUAACUACGUG
rnacentral:rRNA from 1 species